rnacentral:rRNA from 1 species
AUUGAACGCUGGCGGCAGGCCUAACACAUGCAAGUCGAGCGAGCGGCGGACGGGUGAGUAAUGUAUGGGGACUGCCCGCUAGAGGGGGAUAACUACUGGAAACGGUGGCUAAUACCGCAUACUAUCGGAUAACCCAUAUGGGAUUAGCUAGUAGUAGGGGUAAAGGCUCACCUAUGCGACGAUCGCUAGCUGGUCUGAGAGGAUGAUCGUCCACACUGGGACUGAGACACGGCCCAGACUCCGACGGCGGCAGCAGUGGGGAAGAUUGCACAAUGGGCGCAAGCCGGAUGCAGCCAUGCCGCGUGUAUGAAGAAGGCCUUAGGGUUGUAAAGUACUUUCAGCGGGGAGGCGUUACCCGCAGAAGAAGCACCGGCUAACUCCGUGCCAGCAGUCGCGGUAAUUC